GUACACACCGCCCGUCGCUCCUACCGAUUGAAUGGUCCGGCGAGAACUCAGGAUGGAUAUGCGUUUGUACACUUCGGUGUUUCAACCUUAUCCAGAUUUUGUUCAAACCUUACCAUUUAGAGGAAGGAGAAGUCGUAACAAGGUUUCCGUAGGUGAACCUGCAGAAGGAUCA
rnacentral:rRNA from 1 species